rnacentral:rRNA from 1 species
GACGAACGCUGGCGGCGUGCUUAACACAUGCAAGUCGAGCGGUAAGGCCAUUCGGGGUCCACGCGCGGCGAACGGGCGAGUGACACGUGGAUGAUUUGACAUGCACUUCGGGAUAAGCCUGGGAAACUGGGUCUAAUACCGGAUAUGACCUCCUAUCGCAUGGUGGGUGGUGGCAAGAUUUAUCGGUGCAGGUUGGGCCAGCGGCCUAUCAGCUUGCUGGUGGGGUACUGGCCUACGAAGGCGACGACGGGUAGCCGACCUGAGAGGGUGACCGGCCACACUGGGACUGAGGGAGGGCCCAGUAGCCAACGUGACGCAGCAGUGGGGAAUAUUGCGCAAUAGGCGAGAGCCAGAUGCGGCGACGCCGCGUGAGGAAUGACCUCCUUCGGGUUGUGAACCUCUUUCUACAUAAACGAAGCGCAAGUGACGGUACCUGCAGAGAAAGCACCGGCUAACUACGUG